AUUGAACGCUGGCGGCAGGCCUAACACAUGCAAGUCGAACGAAGUGGCGAACGGGUGAGUAAUACGUUGGUACCCUGCCCUCCUUUUUGGGAUAAGCCUUGGAAACGGGGUCUAAUACCGAAUAAAGGGGGAUGGGGUCGCGGCCUGUCAGCUUGUUGGUGGGGUGAUGGCCUACCAAGGCGGUGACGGGUAGACGGCCUGAGAGGGUGAACGGCGACAGUGGGACGGAGAUACGGCCCAGACGCCGAAGGGAGGCAGAAGUGGGGGCGAUUGGAGAAUGGGCGAAAGCCUGAUGCAGCGACGACGAGUGGGGGAUGAGGGCUUUCGAGUUGUAAAACUCUUUCGGUAUCGAACCGUUACCCGCAGAAGAAGCACCGGCUAACUCCGUGCCAGCAGCCGCGGUAAUAC
rnacentral:rRNA from 1 species